AGUGAACGCUGGCGGUAGGCCUAACACAUGCAAGUCGAACGGCAGCACCGUAAGAGCUUGCUCUUACGGGUGGCGAGUGGCGGACGGGUGAGGAAUACAUCGGAAUCUACUUUUUCGUGGGGGAUAACGUAGGGAAACUUACGCUCAUACCGCAUACGACCUACGGGUGAAAGCAGGGGAUCUUCGGACCUUGCGCGAUUGAAUGAGCCGAUGUCGGAUUAGCUAGUUGGCGGGGUAAAGGCCCACCAAGGCGACGAUCCGUAGCUGGUCUGAGAGGAUGAUCGGCCACACUGGAACUGAGACACGGUCCAGACUCCUACGGGAGGCAGCAGUGGGGAAUAUUGGACAAUGGGCGCAAGCCUGAUCCAGCCAUACCGCGUGGGUGAAGAAGGCCUUCGGGUUGUAAAGCCCUUUUGUUGGGAAAGAAAAGCAGCAGGUUAAUACCCCGCUGUUCUGACGGUACCCAAAGAAUAAGCACCGGCUAACUUCGUG
rnacentral:rRNA from 1 species